UACGUAGGGACCAAGCGUUGUUCGGAUUUACUGGGCGUAAAGGGCGCGUAGGCGGCAAUUCAAGUCAGUUGUGAAAUCUCCGAGCUUAACUCGGAACGGUCAACUGAUACUGUCUUGCUAGAGUACAGAAGGGGCAAUCGGAAUUCUUGGUGUAGCGGUGAAAUGCGUAGAUAUCAAGAGGAACACCUGAGGUGAAGACGGGUUGCUGGGCGUGAUACUGACGCUGAGACACGAAAGCGUGGGUAGCAAACAGGAUUAGA
rnacentral:rRNA from 1 species